GGAACCAGACAAGAUAGUAGGGCAUCCAGGGAUGCCGGAGCAUAAUCCGGCUCACAGCACCCAGCCAACCUAUCUGUCAGUGAAUGAAGCCUCCUGAAGGAGGAAGUGAGCUGCAGCCAGACGCCAAACUCCCGGACAAUGGAGAAGACAGUCUGACCCGACGCCAAGCAAAUGCAGGAGCCGAGAUAGAGAGGGAGAGAGACAGUCCACCUGAUAAAGGCAGAACCAAUACAGGCUGUCCCAGCCACAGCCAGCAAACCGCCACACUUCAGACUAAAUUAAGCUGCUGCCACAGGAGACCUUUGGUAACCACCACACCAAUGACUUUGUCCAUCAGAAGCCGCCGUGUGCAGUCAUUGAGAAGGGUCGUACAACCAGAAAUGAAAUUCCUCCGGUUCAAGGUUUUUCAAUUUAUUCUGAAAAGUCUGCAAUCCACUGUUAGUCACUACCUAACAUCCUAGUGACGUAUUUGAAUGUGUUUUUUUCAGGCUAAAAAUGUCAGAGUAUCUCUAUUACCACCUACAGGGCUAGACAUGAAAAUGAAUUAAAUAAGUCCUGGCAGGGACUUUUCGUUGUGGGUUUACAGCCAUGGCUGCCAGAAGAAGUGAAUCAAGUGGGGCAUGUAGGAAAAGAAUAAGUGACACUCCAGAUAGAAUGAACGCACAAUUUAGCCGUAUUAUAAAGGAAGACCGUGCUGCAGAAGAGACCUCAUUUCUCCAUAGGUUAACAAUUUUGCUGGUGUGUCUCUGGACAAUACAACAACUUGGACAUAAAAGUUGUACAUACGCAAGUAGCAUAAGCAGCUUGGUGUAGGUUAUAAGUUGUGCCACCCAAGCGGUACAGCUGCUGGUAGCAUACAUGCUAUCUUGGAUCUCAUUAAAUUGUGAAUGUUGUAUAAGACACUAAGAACCAUGCUACUGCUGCAGUGUCUAACUAAUAAACUACUUCUCAUUUAAUGCAGUCCCCCUUUUAAAGAGGUAUGCACCACUAAGUCUUAUGUACAUCUUUACAUACUUUUAAAGACAGGCAAGGGUUUUUGUUGUCGAACAACUGCUUUACAAAUGUGAUGUAAUGUUACCAAACAUUGCUUGGUAAUCUGACUGCAUAUGGGUACCAAGUGAGGCUGCUCCUUUUUUUAACAGCAGUGUAACAAACUGGCUCUUUCUAUUGCCUUCAGCGUUUUGAAGAGUUCCGUCAAGUGGGUGAAGAACGUGAUCGGUAACACCGACAUGGGAGAGCCGUGAGUCAGCAGGUGACAUUCAAUGUGUCCGUCUUAAGGACUCAUACACUCACCAUGUAUCGAUCUCACAGGAAUGCCACGGCUGAGUGUAGGGUUGUUGUCCCUUUGGGUCUCAACCAGGAAGAAUUUCGACAGGCUCUGCGAGAAUCCAUUCCUGAUAUACCACUGCAGUUUGAUCUGG